rnacentral:rRNA from 1 species
UACGGGGGGGGCAAGCGUUGUUCGGAAUUACUGGGCGUAAAGGGCUCGUAGGCGGCCAACUAAGUCGAACGUGAAAUCCCCGGGCUCAACCCGGGAACUGCGUCCGAGACUGGCAGGCUCGAAUCCGGGAGAGGGAUGUGGAAUUCCAGGUGUAGCGGUGAAAUGCGUAGAUAUCUGGAGGAACACCGGUGGCGAAGGCGGCAUCCUGGACCGAGAUUGACGCUGAUGAGCGAAAGCUAGGGGAGCAAACGGG